UACGUAGGGUGCGAGCGUUAAUCGGAAUUACUGGGCGUAAAGCGCACGCAGGUGGCUGAGUCAGUCGAUUGUGAAAGCCCUGGGCUUAACCUGGGAAUUGCAGUCGAUACUACUCAGCUAGAGUAUGGGAGAGGGUAGUGGAAUUCCCGGUGUAGCGGUGAAAUGCGUAGAUAUCGGGAGGAACAUCAGUGGCGAAGGCGGCUACCUGGCCCAAUCCUGACACUCAGGUGCGACAGCGUGGGGAGCAAACAGG
rnacentral:rRNA from 1 species